AUAAAUAUAGUUUAUUAAAAACAUUAUACUUUCAUUAUAAAAAUAAUAUUUAAUUAUUUAUUUAUU
rnacentral:tRNA from 1 species